rnacentral:rRNA from 1 species
UGGGGAAUUUUGGACAAUGGGCGAAAGCCUGAUCCAGCAAUGCCGCGUGUGUGAAGAAGGCCUUCGGGUUGUAAAGCACUUUUGUCCGGAAAGAAAUCCUUGGCUCUAAUACAGUCGGGGGGAUGACGGUACCGGAAGAAUAAGCACCGGCUAACUACGUGCCAGCAGCCGCGGUAAUACGUAGGGUGCAAGCGUUAAUCGGAAUUACUGGGCGUAAAGCGUGCGCAGGCGGUUUGCUAAGACCGAUGUGAAAUCCCCGGGCUCAAACCUGGGAACUGCAUUGGUGACUGGCAGGCUAGAGUAUGGCAGAGGGGGGUAGAAUUCCACGUGUAGCAGUGAAAAUGCGUAGAGAUGUGGAGGAAUACCGAUGGCGAAGGCAGCCCCCUGGGCCAAAUACUGACGCUCAUGCACGAAAGCGUGGGGAGCAAAACAGGAUUAGAUACCCUGGUAGUCCACGCCCUAAAACGAUGUCAACUAGUUGUUGGGGAUUCAUUUCCUU